AAGAGAGAAGCUCGAAUGUACAGCGAAUAUCCCAUAUAAACCCAACUUUAACGCGGUGCACGGUUUACACCACUGAGGGUACGGAUUAAAAAAUUGAGGGCACGGAUUACAAAUCUGAGGGUACGGUUUAAAAAAUUGAGGGCAGAAUUCGAAUUCGGUGUUCGAUGGAGUAGGACGCGAACUUGGAGUCUCCUGCUGAUUUCGAUUAAAAUUGUAAUUAAUUAGCGCUUUUUGGUCAUAUAAUAUAUUUUGAUUUAUUCUACUUCGUUUCCUUAUUUGCACUUUUAACUUUGUGGCACGUUAAGAUGUCUGGAAAGAACACGAAAACCCGUGGUAGCAUUCAGACACGACUGAGACCUAGUGUGCGCUCCAUGAGCGAGUCCCCUUCUCCCCUGAAUCCGCGUCCCCGAGCAGUGACCCUGACUUCGCCGCACUCAGGCUUGAGUUGCUGGCUUCACUGAGGAAGGACAUUGCCGAUAUUUUUAAAAAGGAGUUUCAGGCGAUGUUCAGGGAUGCGCUGUCUACUAUCCAGCUUGACCUGCAGGCCGUGAAAACACAGCAGGCUGGUGAUAAAGUCGCUACCGAGGCUACCAUAUCAACACUGAAAGGUACUGUUGGGGAAAUGCAGCACGCGAUCUCCGGUUGCACCGAUGACAUAGUUCAUAUGAAGACUACUAUCGAGUCCCUCACUGCGACCGUGACUCAAUUAGAGAAUAAACGUGAGGAUUUGGAGUUGAGGUCAUGGCGCAAUAACGUUAGGAUAGUCGGAGUUCCAGAGGGCGCCGACACCUGUACAACUGCUGCUGUAGCGGCCUUGUUAAAGGAGGCGUUUGGUCUGGAGAAGGAGCCGGUUUUGGACCGGUCCCACUGGACCCUUCAGACGAAGCCCAAGCCUGGUGAACGACCACGAGCUAUUGUGUGCAGAUUCCACUAUCACAGUGACUGUGUUGAUAUUUUACGCCGUGCGAGAGAGCUCCAGCAGAUUAAAACGAGGGAUUUGACCAUCUCCGUUUUCCCUGACUACACAGCCAAGACAGACCGGGCCCGGGCAGCGUUUAACGAGGUUCGGCGUCAACUUCGUCGUAUUGAGGGAGCUCGCUAUGGAAUACUUCACCCAGCUCGGCUUCACAUUACAUAUAACGGUGUUCAGAAGGACUUUAUUUCAGCGGAGGAAGCAGGAGACUACGUUAAACUCUUGAUAUCGGGGUGAACUGCAUCACCUAUAUAAUGGAGUUUUUUUCACUUUUGUUUUGUUUUUUUGUGUUUUUUUCUUCUUCUCAAUGAAAUAUUUGGGAAAGGGAAGGGAGGAGAGAAGAAAAAAGGGUCGAGGGGAACCUGGAGCCUAUCCCAGGCAGCAUGGGGCACAAGGCGGGGUACACCCUGGACAGGGUGCUAAUCCAUCACAGUUAAUCACAUACACAUUCACACACCCAUUCAUUCACUACAGACACUUUGGACAUGCCAAUCAGCCUACCCUGCAUGUCUUUGGACUGGGAGAGGGAACUGGAGUACCUGGAGGAAACACCUGCAGCAUGGGGAGAACCCUGGAGGUGUGAGGCAAAGUGCUAACCACUAGCUAGUUGAACUCUGUAACUCUAGCUGAACUGUUCUGUACAGGUCAGGUAAGUCCUGGGGGCGGAGCUUUGUGAACACAUGGGUAAUUGGGGAGAAGGUCCUCGGUGUGUUGGACUUCAGCUGUGACUGGAUGUAACCGAUCGGCGAGAGUUUCCGCACAACACAACUGAACACAGCUCCUGGCUACAGCCUGCAGAAUGGGGCGGGGCUAAACAUGUGUCGCUCCGACCAUAACCGCUCUCAUUGGUUAGUGGCGAUGUAAUGACGUCGACUCCUCAGAAUGUUCUCAUUGGACUCUAUGCACAGUCACUUCCGCUUUCAGUCUCAGUGGCUAGCGCAACUUUCAUUGCUGCACCGGAAGUGAUUUUUGCUUUCCGUUUCAAUGGGCGCUGUCAGCGUGGCUUUUUACACUCACUGCUUGUAAGAUCUUCCACGGAUUAUUGUGAACGAUGACAAUCGCAUUAUGAUGUUAGCAUCUGUCUUUCCCUUAUUUAUUAUAUAUUAUAAUAAUAUAUUAACCUUAUUU